CGCAGCUGUGCCAAGACUAAAGUCCACAUACUGAUGAAGACAACAGAUAAAUACUGGCAUAGCAAGCUGAGUGUUUCAAUAGCAAAACAAAAUGCUCUUAUUUGAAGAAGAAAAAUAAGUGCAAUAAGUAUUGUAAUAAUGUAUAUAACAUUCAACUAUCAUUCUACAGAAACAAACUAAGAAAGUGAAAUGCAUUCAGAUUCUUGUUGCUGUUGAUAAUAGUGAAAACAGAAAUUAAAUAACAUGAACCAGGAUAAUUUUUCAGUAAAGUGACUGGUUACUAGAUGGAUGACUGGGGUUCAACUUAUGGCAGGGACAGAGAUUGUUUUCUUUGGUACUACAUGCAGAACAGAUCUGAGAACCAACCAAUAUUCUGUUCAAUGUGUACGGGGGCCUUUUCUAAAGCACCCACGGCAUGAAGCAGACCACUUAUUUCUAUCAAAUGCUAAGGUCUAGAAUAUUUGGAACUGUUCCAAGCCCUAUCUGCUUUAAUGAAGUAAUGCCUGGGCACUGGGACAACUUUACCUUUAUUAUGAUUCUGUAAUGCAGCAUCCCAGUGUGUUACUCUUCAGAUACUUGAUACUUGUUUGACUGUCACUUGGUUUUUAAUAUGAGUAAAAUGACUACAUACACACAUCAAACAUGAAGAUGGUCACAUGCUGCCAAAAUAUAUACAGUGGAUUCCAGUUAAUUGGGACACAUCAGGACUAGAACAUUUUGGCCCAAUUAAGUGGCUGCCCCAAUUAUGCGUAGUUCCAUGUAAAGGGUUAAAAAGGUUUGUUCUUUAAGAUUUGUCCCAAAUAAAUGGCUGCCCCGAUUAACCAAUGGCCCAAUUAACUGGAAUCUACUGUAGUUCAUUAAACAUUUAGAAAGUGUUAAACAGUGUGUGUGAAAGUGACACUUAAAACAAACAUCAAGAAUCUGAAGAGAAAAUUACUGUUUUAAAAGACAUUUUUCACAAUAUGAAAAUAUUCAAUUCAAGACACUGACACUGUACACCAGUGUUCUGCAACUGCCGCGCCAUAACAAGGUUUCAGAUGUUGCGUGAAUUUUUAUAAAAAAUUAAACCCUAUACUCACAUGCAGUUAGAAACAGAUGGUAACUUAUCUUUCGUACACAGAAUCCCUAAUGCAAACACACUGGUCUGUCAUUGACAGUUUUAUUCAACAUAUGUUGUUUUGUUCUCAUAUGCCUGCACUUCUACAGGGCAAGAAUUUAUAUGUAGUAUCAUAUUUAUGACUGUGUAGUUUCAUAUCCCCAUUUCAUCAGGCAAAAUUAUGUGAUGUUCCAUCAUGUGGUUUUGACAAAUUAGGGUGUGCCAUGAGUGAAAAAAGGUUGCCAAAAACACUGCUGUAACUAAGAAAUUUUCUAUACACAACUACAAAAACAAAAAUCUAACAAUGAAGUCAUUUGGAACUUUCUUUGAAUGAGAACAUUAUUUUGCUUCAGAAAUUGUACAAUAUUUGGGUGUAUAAAUUAAUCUAGCUUCAAAUGUACUGGCACCUAUUACGCUUUGCAUUAUGAAAUAUCACAAAAUGUUGCAUACUAAACAGAAAUCAUGCAAUAUUUAUACAAGUUACUGCAAAACAAAAUACCUAUUCACAUGCACUGAGUUGUAAAUUCUGACCUAUACUUAGAACGUACAGAAUACAUUUAUUGAAAAUAAUAAACUGAAAGGAGAGGUAAUGUCAUA